rnacentral:tRNA from 1 species
UCGCCUGUAGCUCAGCGGUAGAGCAAUCGGCUGUUAACCGAUUGGUCGCAGGUUCAAAUCCUGCCGGGCGAGCCA